UGUCGCGAGCUUGUGAGUCUUGCUGUUAUGGAAACCAGGGUGGGAGGGGCUAACUGAUGCCAUUCGACUGGAGGUUUGAUGCGGAGAUGUUGUCCUCGGUGACCAGCUUAAAGCUCCCCGUCCUACGAGCUACUUCAGCAUAAAACUUUUUAGUCUCGCUGCAGUGUAGCCUUUUCGCUGACUUGAUUUUUGAUGAAACCAGACGUUUUCCGUCGCUUCUUGUUUAAUUUUCUGUUUAAAACUAGGCCAGGCUAAACCUGUCGCGCUGUAAAUCCCCCCACCUCUCUCCUUUUGAUUUUUUUUUUCUUCUCUCUACCCAAGACAACAAUUCUGGUGUUUAAGGGAGCAUUUAGAAGAAAAAACACUCAAUUUUCUGGACUUUUUUUUCUUCUCCAGAAGAUGCGGAAUAGCCAGUAAGGCGACUGAAACUAACCUCUGCAACUAUCAGACCCUGCAUUGAUGUCCCCUGGUUGCGGAGUCGGGCUGCUCGGUCAUUGGGCUGAGGGGCAAAUUUUUGUGGGGAAGUCGUGUGGAGCACAAAGAGCUUAUUAAUGCCGACAGUCAAGUUUUUCACCGUGUGUUGACAGAGGGACUGAGGUAGGAGUAGAGUUACAACGCUUUACGACCUACACUGCAACACAAAGUUAGUCAACUUUUCAGCGUGUAGCUCCUAAUAAAGUAACUACAUCCAGAAAGGGUUUUUAAUCAGCUUCAUUUGGUCCAGGGUUUAUUCUUUUAGCUGCACCGUCUGAUGAUUUUUUCUAAUCAGGAGUCCGAUUUAAAUGCAGACUGGUUUGCGAUCACAGCCGAUCUGCCAGUGCCGCUGGGAUUUUAACCCACGUCCAUUCAUUUUUUACCACUCGGCUUCAACACUAUGGAGGUGAUAUUAAGGAAAAUGUUGCUGCUGCUGCUGGGGUGCAUCUUAUUCCUGGACUUGGCUCGACUGGCUGAUGCAGAAGAAGAGGUGCUGAUGAACUACCA